UGAGUACGGGACGCUAAGGCGUCGAAGUAGUGGAUGUCAUACUUCCAAGAAAAGCUUGCACUGUCAUACAUAAAAAACGCCUGUACCAUAACCGACACAGGUGGGUAGGUAGAGUAUACUAAGGGGCGCGAGAUAACUCUCUCUAAGGAACUCGGCAAAAUGACUCCGUAACUUCGGGAGAAGGAGUGCCUUAUUCGUAAGGCUGCAAUAACAAGAUCCAAGCAACUGUUUAUCAAAAACACAGGUCUCCGCUAAGUCGUAAGACGAUGUAUGGGGGCUGACGCCUGCCCAGUGCCAGAAGGUUAAAGAAGUCGGUUAGCAUUAGCGAAGCUGGUAACUGAAGCCCUGGUGAACGGCGGCCGUAACUAUAACGGUCCUAAGGUAGCGAAAUUCCUUGUCGGGUAAGUUCCGACCCGCACGAAAGGCGUAAUGAUUUGGAUACUGUCUCGGAGAGGGGCUCGGUGAAAUAGACUUGUCUGUGAAGAUGCGGACUACCUGCACCAGGACAGAAAGACCCUAUGAAGCUUUACUGUAACUUGAAAUUGAAAUUGGACUUUAUUCGCGCAGUAUAGGUGGGAGGUGUUGAUUAUAAUCUUGCGGGAUUAUUGGAGCCAUCAGUGAGAUACCACUCUUGUAAUGUUAGAUUUCUAACUUUGAAUCAUUAUCUGGUCAAAGAACAGUUUCAGGCGGGCAGUUUGACUGGGGCGGUCGCCUCCUAAAUGGUAACGGAGGCGUACAAAGGUUUCCUCUGAACGGGUAGAAAUCGUAUCUAGAGUGUAAAGGCAUAAGGAAGCUUGACUGUGAGACCUACAAGUCGAGCAGGGACGAAAGUCGGUCUUAGUGAUCUGACGGUACUGAGUGGAAAGGCCGUCACUCAACGGAUAAAAGUUACUCUAGGAUAACAGGCUGAUCUCCCCCAAGAGUUCACAUCGACGGGGAGGUUUGGCACCUCGAUGUCGGCUCAUCGCAUCCUGGGGCGGUAGUACGUCCCAAGGGUUGGGCUGUUCGCCCAUGAAAGCGGUACGCGAGCUGGGUUCAGAACGUCGUGAGACAGUUCGGUCCAUAUCCGGUGUAGGCGUUAGAAUAUUGAGAGGAGCCUUCUUUAGUACGAGAGGACCGAGAAGGACAUACCUCUGGUGUACCAGUUAUCGUGCCAACGGUAAACGCUGGGUAGCUAUGUAUGGAGUGGAUAACCGCUGAAAGCAUCUAAGUGGGAAGCCCACCUCAAGAUAAGUAUUAUC
rnacentral:rRNA from 1 species